GCCCUGAGGUGGCCGGUCGUGCCCGCGUGGCCUCGGGCAGUGGAGGCUGGCACCCGGAGGCUGUCGCGAAGAGGGUCAGGGCUGCAGGCCGGGAAGAGGCUCUCCCCUGACUGGACGUCGGAGUCACCUGGAUGGCUUCUAAAUGCAGAUGCCCCGCCCCACCCCUCAGAGUCACCGUCGAGGAGUGGAGUUUGCUCAAGACCAAAACAGCAUCAGAGGAGGAAUUAAAAACGUUUCCCAGGACCAGUGAGACAGCUCAGCAGAUCACAGCCUAUGUCCCCAUCAAAACUGGAUGAUGAAAGGAAUGAGGAGAAGGAGUUCCUUUUCAGUUUCUGCUCUCAGCUUCUUCAGAGUGUUUUCACAGAGGUAUUCUUAUCCCUGUUAGCAUUUUCUUUGUCUAAGGAUGAAUCUCCGGAACCUUGGUGCUUGGGUCACUCCAGCUUGGCAGGAAGCCUGUUGGGUGAGAUCCUCCCAAGACAAUGCUAGAAGUCAUUCUCCUUGUCUUCUACCUGGCCCCAGGAAGCUCUCACAUAUUGCUGGUAACAUCUACAACUCUAGAAAACUCUGGAAAACUGAG